GGCAGUGGUGGCUCAGUGGUUAAAGGCUCUAGUUUACUGAGCAGAAGUAAGUCAAGAGUUCAAGCCCCAGCACUGCUA